rnacentral:rRNA from 1 species
UCUCCUAGUAGUACGGAAUAAUUGUUGGAAACGACAACUAAUACCGUAUACGCCCUACGGGGGAAAAAUUUAUUGCUAUUAGAUGAGCCUAUAUUAGAUUAGCUAGUUGGUGGGGUAAUAGCCUACCAAGGUAAUGAUCUAUAGCUGAUCUGAGAGGAUGAUCAGCCACACUGGAACUGAGAUACGGUCCAGACUCCUACGGGAGGCAGCAGUGGGGAAUAUUGGACAAUGGGCGAAAGCCUGAUCCAGCCAUGCCGCAUGAGUGAAGAAGGCCUUUGGGUUGUAAAGCUCUUUUAGUGAGGAAGAUAAUGACGGUACUCACAGAAGAAGUCCUGGCUAACUCCGUGCCAGCAGCCGCGGUAAUACGGAGAGGGCUAGCGUUAUUCGGAAUUAUUGGGCGUAAAGGGCGCGUAGGCUGGUUAAUAAGUUAAAAGUGAAAUCCCGAGGCUUAACCUUGGAAUUGCUUUUAAAACUAUUAAUCUAGAGAUUGAAAGAGGAUAGGGGAAUUCCUGAUGUAGAGGUAAAAUUCGUAAAUAUUAGGAGGAACACCAGUGGCGAAGGCGUCUAUCUGGUUCAAAUCUGACGCUGAAGCGCGAAGGCGUGGGGAGCAAACAGGAUUAGAUACCCUGGUAGUCCACGCUGUAAACGAUGAAUGUUAAAUAUGGGGAGUUUACUUUCUGUAUUACAGCUAACGCGUUAAACAUUCCGCCUGGGGACUACGGUCGCAAGAUUAAAAAUCAAAGGAAUUGACGGGGACCCGCACAAGCGGGGAGCAUGGGUU